rnacentral:snoRNA from 1 species
GCCCUUUUGUAGUUCAUAAGCAUAAUGAUUGGGUUUUUGCACAUAUGCCAAACCUUGUUAAGAUGGUGGCAUUUUACCCAUAAGACA